UUACGCACACUCCCGCGACCCAGCCACUAGACGGCUAGAGUUCACGUACCCGGACACACGCACGGGCGCAGAACAAAGGGCAUGCUCCAAACCGCUCCGCCUCCGCCUCGCUCUCCCAGGCCCGGGUUACCUGCGCAGUCGGAACCAGCUUUCUCAGACCCGUGCCUGAGGCGCAAGUGAAGCUGCUGCAGGAGGAGAAAUGGGGAAAAGCCCGACGCAAAUGAUCUCGCUGUCAUCGUCAGCCCUCGGGGACUCAUUUCCAUCCCGUGGCGGGAAGAGAUCCCAGAAGCUGUGUGAAUGCCCCUUUGGUAACCGGAAUCCGGGAUGCCCGUCGCCGCCGCCGCCUUUGCCAGCUCCGGAAGCCCUCCUUUCUGCCAGAGUGAGAAACUGAGGCGAAUUCCCAGGGCCAGGCUUCCCUGCUUGACCCGCAGUGGUUCCUUUUUGUUGGAGGCCCUUUCUCAUCUUGUACUAACAUUUACGUUCGGGUCUCUGUUGGAGCUGAGUCUGUGUUAGCCUCAUUGGUCGGCUACUUCCUUCCCUGGAGCUCAGAAUCCCUCUCCUCUCUCACCAAGGGGAUGCUCCUGGUCAGGAGCUGGCUGCUCUCUUCCAGUGAAAUGCCAUCUUUGGAAGCUAGGGGUUCCUGCUCAUCAAAGUAGCUGAGUUAAUAAAUUUCACACAACCACGGA